GCAGGGAGCCGGUCCGCCGCCGGAACGGGAGCCUGGGUGUGCGUGUGGAGUCGGGACUCGUGGGAGACGAUCGCGAUGAACACGGUGCUGUCGCGGGCGAACUCACUGUUCGCCUUCUCGCUGAGCGUGAUGGCGGCGCUCACCUUCGGCUGCUUCAUCACCACCGCCUUCAAAGACAGGAGCGUCCCGGUGCGGCUGCACGUCUCGCGGAUCAUGCUAAAAAAUGUAGAAGAUUUCACUGGACCUAGAGAAAGAAGUGAUCUGGGAUUUAUCACAUUUGAUAUAACUGCUGAUCUAGAGAAUAUAUUUGAUUGGAAUGUUAAGCAGUUAUUUCUUUAUUUAUCAGCAGAAUAUUCAACAAAAAAUAAUGCUCUGAACCAAGUUGUCCUAUGGGACAAGAUUGUUUUGAGAGGUGAUAAUCCGAAGCUGCUGCUGAAAGAUAUGAAAACAAAAUAUUUUUUCUUUGACGAUGGAAAUGGUCUCAAGUGAGCAAUUCUUGGUCAUUUUUUUACAUUUAAUAAGAGGUGAAAAAGAGAGAAAGAUGUAUUUUUAUUUUAAAGAAAAAUACUUGAGAGUAAAAGGAGAAAAA
rnacentral:sRNA from 1 species